rnacentral:rRNA from 1 species
AACGAACGCUGGCGGCAGGCCUAACACAUGCAAGUCGAACGCGCGUAGCAAUACGCGAGUGGCGCACGGGUGAGUAACACGUGGGAAUCAACCCUGAGGUUCGGAAUAACCGCGGGAAACUGCGGCUAAUACCGGAUGUCCCCUAUGGGGGAAAGAUUUAUCGCCUUGGGACGAGCCCGCGUCCGAUUAGCUAGUUGGUGAGGUAACGGCUCACCAAGGCUACGAUCGGUAGCUGGUCUGAGAGGAUGACCAGCCACACUGGAACUGAGAUACGGUCCAGACUCCUACGGGAGGCAGCAGUGGGGAAUAUUGGGCAAUGGAGGCAACUCUGACCCAGCCAUGCCGCUGGGUGACGAAGGUCUUUCGGAUUGUAAAGCCCUUUCGGCGGAGACGAUGAUGACGGUAUCCGCAGAAGAAGCCCCGGCUAACUUCGUGCC